rnacentral:lncRNA from 1 species
ACCAAGACAAAUCAGUGCAAGUCUAUGCAAUAAGGGAUGCAAAUCUAAACACAAUUAAGGAAGCAGCAGUAGAAACACAUAACACCGCGACCCACGCAGAAAUAAGAGAUGUAGAUUUGGAGGAAGAACCCACUGCUCAAAUUUUCCUUAAUGUUGCCAAGCAUGGGGAUAUGUCUCCAAGGCAUAUUGAACCUGUGAAAUUUCCAGUAAAAGAAAAAAAGAAACAGUCAAAAGAGAAUUCAUAUGCACAGACCAACGGAGUAAAAACAAGGAGCACUCUGUCCAAACACAAAAACAUCUAAUGGAUGCCAUUAUAUGGAACAUGAGAUCAGUAAAUACAAUGCAAGAAUUUCAGAGGCUGGUUACAAUGCAUCGGAAACAUCAUUUUCAAUUCAUAGGAAUCAUUGAACCUAUGCAGCAGUCUCACAAAAUUGAGAAAUAUAGAGCAAGAUUACAAUGCAUCGGAAACAUCAUUUUCAAUUCAUAGGAAUCAUUGAACCUAUGCAGCAGUCUCACAAAAUCGAGAGAUAUAGAGCAAGAAUUGGUUUGGCUCAAGCUGUGGUGAAUGUGUCAAACAAAAUUUAUUUAUUGAUGAAAUUUUUGCAGUUAAUAUUCUGCAUAAUAUGAAUCAACAGUUGACUUUAAAAUUGGUGCACAAUGAAAGACAUGCGGAGCUCAUCCUCACGCUAGUAUAUGCUAAAUGUGAUCACAUUGAAAGAAUUGAGCUAUGGGAUUCUCUAUAUACAAUGGCAUCGCACGUUACUGUUCCAUGGCUGGUCGGAGGAGACUUUAAUGUAAUUUGGGACGAGAAAGAGAAGUUUGGUGGCUUGCCAGUCUCGUUCCUCGAAGUAGAUGACUUCAGACAUUGCNN